rnacentral:rRNA from 1 species
UACGGGGGGAGCAAGCGUUGUUCGGAUUUACUGGGCGUAAAGGGCGCGUAGGCGGCCAGCACAAGUCAGUUGUGAAAUCUCCGAGCUUAACUCGGAAAGGUCAACUGAUACUGUGCGGCUAGAGUGCGGAAGGGGCAACUGGAAUUCUUGGUGUAGCGGUGAAAUGCGUAGAUAUCAAGAGGAACACCUGAGGUGAAGACGGGUUGCUGGUCCGACACUGACGCUGAUGCGCGAAAGCCAGGGGAGCAAACGGG